UACGUAGGGUCCAAGCGUUAAUCGGAAUUACUGGGCGUAAAGCGUGCGCAGGCGGUUGUGUAAGCCAGAUGUGAAAUCCCCGGGCUUAACCUGGGAAUGGCAUUUGGGACUGCACGGCUAGAGUACGGCAGAGGAGACGUAGAAUUCCUGGUGUAGCAGUGAAAGUGACGUAGAUAUACAGGAGGAAUACCGAGUGGCGAAGGCAGGUCUCCUGGGU
rnacentral:rRNA from 1 species